rnacentral:tRNA from 1 species
GCCGCCAUAGCUCAGGGGACGAGAGCAGGCCCCUUCUAAGGGCACGGUCCUCGGUUCGAAUCCGAGUGGCGGUUCCA